UUGUCUAUAGAUGCGAUUUCUAGGAACAAAUCAAAUUAUUUUGAUUUGUAUUUUAUGAAGUAGUCAUAUGUAAAUUAUUAUUUAUUUUUUGAUAUAUGUAUAUUAUUAUCUAUUAUAUUUCAGUUUUUCUUUGUCUAUGUUCAUAAAAUCUACGAAGGGUAGACGUGCCUCUACCCUCCUUGAUAAAAUAAAAAAAAAUCUUUGUCAAUUGGCCUCUUUGAUAGGCCUUGAUUUGGGUCUGGCCGGUAAGAACAUAGACAAGAUAAAAGUCUGUAAUGUCAAUGCUGUCAUUUAAGUCAUUUAAUGCAAAAAUAUCAAUUUUCAUAUAAAACGAUUUAUUCACUUGAAAUAUAUUUAUUUACCUAUUAAUUUUAAAAAUAAAAUCUAUUCAUAUGUACGAGCAACAUAUCUAAAUGCGUCUUCGCACAGACUUAGUUAAAUUUAAACCGUUGUCUCUCUUCCUUCCUUGCUGUAUGUAUCCGGCAAUGGCGACUUUAUCAACAAUUCUUAUCCGGAUUAUGGAAAGCCCUAAUGUGUGUGUGGAAACCGUUGUAGUAAAUCAGAAACAGCGAUAAUUUCAAGAAAGUGAAUCAGCAGAUGGCUUGAGCGUGAGAUAAUAAUAUAAUCCUGGGCCGUCAUAUGAUUUCUUGGAAAAAGCUCAGAAGGGCACGUAUCUGCCGCAUAUCCAAACUAGUUUCCCGGUGACCAAGAACGCUGCGCGGAGCUGUGAAGCAGAAAAUGUCCGAUAACCGGAUAGAUGUAAUAACAACUUGUAACCAUUUGCCAUAUCAGUGUAUGUAUUCAUAUGUAUUAUGAAAAUAUUUAUAUCUUAAUAAUACGUAACUUUUUGUUACCUUUUAUAUUUCACGAAUUUCUGAAUAUAGUACCUAAUCAUUAUCUUUUAACGUAUUUUUUUACUUAUUUGUGAAAUGCUAAUUUCAGAGCCCAACAACGUG